rnacentral:rRNA from 1 species
UACAGAGGUCUCAAGCGUUGUUCGGAUUCAUUGGGCGUAAAGGGUGCGUAGGUGGCGCUGUAAGUCGGGUGUGAAAUUUCGGAGCUUAACUCCGAAACUGCAUUCGAUACUGCGGUGCUUGAGGACUGGAGAGGAGACUGGAAUUCAUGGUGUAGCAGUGAAAUGCGUAGAGAUCAUGAGGAAGACCAGUGGCGAAGGCGGGUCUCUGGACAGUUCCUGACACUGAGGCACGAAGGCCAGGGGAGCGAACGGGG